ensembl:snRNA U6 U6 spliceosomal RNA
GUGCUUGGUUCAGCAGGCAGCACAUAUACUAAAAUUGGAAUGAUACAGAGAAGAUUAGUAUGGCCCUUGCGCAAGGAUGACAGGCAAAUUCGUGAAGUGUUCCAUAUUAAG